rnacentral:ncRNA from 1 species
UUUUUUUGUAAAGCGCCUGAACUGCACCGUAUGAGCGGAGAAAGACCACGGGCAGUUGACGAGGUGGAGGAGUAUCGAGAUUUCGGCGGAUGCCUCCCGGUGAGCGUUGUGCCACACCGACAGAGCGGUUUUCGAAAUCCGUUGGGCGACUGACGGGACAAGAGACGCUUAUGGUACAC